rnacentral:rRNA from 1 species
UACGUAGGGGGCUAGCGUUGUCCGGAUUUACUGGGCGUAAAGAGCGCGUAGGCGGUCUUGUAAGUGUGAAGUGAAAUCUCCAGGGCUCAACCCGGAAACUGCUUUACAUACUGCAAAACUGGAGUGAUGCAGAGGUUUGUGGAAUUCCUGGUGUAACGGUGAAAUGUGUUGAUAUCAGGAGGAACACCCAUGGCGAAGGCAGCAAACUGGGCAUCAACUGACGCUGAGGCGCGAAAGCGUGGGUAGCAAACAGG